CACACGACUCUCGGCAACGGAUAUCUCGGCUCUCGCAUCGAUGAAGAACGUAGCAAAAUGCGAUACCUGGUGUGAAUUGCAGAAUCCCGCGAACCAUCGAGUUUUUGAACGCAAGUUGCGCCCGAGGCCUUCUGGUUGAGGGCACGCCUGCCUGGGCGUCACGC
rnacentral:rRNA from 10 species